AAAAGGGACCGGCGACGCGAGAGGAAAAAAGCGAGUGCCAGGACCGGCGACGAUCUCAUGAGAGAAAGAAGCGGCUAGAGAACCCAACGGACUACACCAUGGUUUCCCAUUUUAUUUCCAAGAAACCCUUCUUUAUCCGCUCCUCGCCUCCCCCCCGCUCCCUCGUCGGCGCUAACCACACCUCCGCCCGCUUCUGCUCCCGCUAAAUCCUCUUCGACUACGCGAUUAGGUUUCCGGCUGGGACUAGAUUUAGGGUUUGGAUUCUUUUAUUUUUUAACACUGAUUCUUUGCUAUUCUUUUCCGGCCAUGGAGCCGGGGGCGAGAUCCAGCUCCGUGAAGAACAUCGUGGUGCGCGUGCUGCUCUUCGGCGUCUUCGUCCUCCUCCUCCGCUUCGUCUACGUCGUCACCGUGUACGGUGGGCCCUGCAAAUCCGGCGACUUCUGCAUUUUCUCUUUCCCCGGCGACGGCCUCAGCAUCGCCGGCGCCGGUGCUUCUGUCUCCGCCGGCACCGCCGCCUUCGUCCGCGUCGCCGCCGGCUCCGCCGCCACCACGCCCGCCCUCUGGACCACCCGGGAGUGGCGCAAGGCUGUGGACUACUACUCCGCUAUCUUCCAGGACCUCCUUGUGGAGGGCUUCCUCUCCCAGACGGCCAAGUCCCUCUGCGUGGACACCCCCGUCGGCCAGGAGGUCCUCGCCCUCAAGGAGAUCGGCGUCCCCGACGCCGUCGGCGUCGCCAAGAAGAAGGCCCCGCCGCUGGUCGUCGCCGGCGGCGACCUCCUCCACCUGCCGUUCCGCAACGGCACCUUCGACUUCGUCUUCGCCGGCCGUAGCCUCGACCGGUCCAAGCGGCCGGCGGAUCUCGCCGCGGAAAUCGAGCGGAAGAUGAAGCCCGAAGGGCUUCUGGCCGUCCUCACCACCUCCGCCGGCGACGCGUACAGCCUUCACUCCCUCGCCGAUCUCUUCCCCUCCUGCGUGAAGCUCCGCUCCCGCGAGAUCGACGGCCCAGAUUCGUCCUCAGCCCUCCGCGAGAUCGUAUUCCAGAAGAAAUUCGACAGUGAGAUUCUCUCCUUCAAUGGAGAGAAUUCCAAUCCUUCCUCCGGUGGCAAUUCCGCGAACAGAUUCUCCAUCCCUGAGCACAAGCUCCAAAUUCUAAAAUCCGCGGAGCCUCUGAUCAAAGAGGAGCCAUUGAAGCCAUGGAUCGCCCUGAAGAGAAACAUCAAAAACAUCAAAUACCUUCCAUCUAUGGCGGAUAUAAGCUUCAAGCGGAGGUACGUGUAUGUCGACGUCGGUUCCCGGAGCUACGGCUCAAGCAUUGGGAGCUGGUUCAGGAAGCAGUACCCCAAGCAGAACCACACCUUCGAUAUCUAUGCCAUCGAGGCCGACCGGGCGUUCCAUGACGAGUAUGCGGCCAAGAAGAAUGUCAAGUUGCUGCCCUUCGCUGCGUGGGUGCGUAACGAGACCCUGACGUUCGAGAUCAAUCAUGACCCGGAGCAGCAUGAUGCCGAGAAAGAGAAAGGUGGCCGUGGAAUGGGUCGGAUUAGGCCGGUCCGUGGGCCCUCCGAAGGUGUGUCGUCCGGGGAGCUGCAUACGAUUCAUGGAUUUGAUUUUGCUGAGUGGUUGAAGAGGACGGUAUCGGAUAAGGAUUUUGUGGUCAUGAAGAUGGACGUGGAGGGGACAGAGUUCGAUCUGGUGCCGAGGCUGUUCGAGACCGGGGUCAUCUCUUUGAUAGAUGAGCUCUUUCUGGAGUGCCACUAUAACCGGUGGCAGAGGUGCUGCCCUGGGGAGAGGACGCCCAAGUACAGGAACACCUACGGAGAGUGCCUGAGGCUGUUCACUUCGCUCAGGAAGAGCGGCGUUCUUGUUCAUCAGUGGUGGUGAUCGGUAACCGAUUACAAAAACUCGCAAGGGAUGAAAAUGCAGGUUUAGUUUCCUGGAGUUUUAUUCAGGAUCUUAUGAUGGAAACGCGGGUAAAUGAAGAGGAAACUGUGGAAUUCCAGGGUGAAAGUGUUAUUUCAGGAAUUUUCAAUGAUGGUUUCUCUCUUGAUAGAAAGAGCAUGAAUCCAUAUGAUUGAAACAGCUACACCUAUUUUAGCUCUCUCUUAAGAAAAACACUUCAUAUUUGUUUAAGAUUAGUCUCGAGACGGCGAGCGGCAUAAUGUGCAGGGCAUUCAGAGACUGAUACCUCCACAGACCAUUCAGACACCGAUAGCUCCACAAACUAACUGUAGAUCCGGUUACUCUUCCUGAAAGAACCCGAAAGUGUUAAUCCGUCCCCCGUGUAAAGUGUAGUUUGUAAAACUUUUUAGAACUGUUUCCCAACAGCUACUCUGAGAGAGAUCUAAUUCUCUGUCACACCGUACCAGAAAUUUAUCACCCACUAUCUGACAAAUGUAGCGUCCCAUCUUGUAUCAUAAAUAUUUCUACAGUCUACAGUACCAUUCCAUUUA